rnacentral:rRNA from 1 species
CGGCCUUGACAUACUAAGAACUUCAGAGAUGGAUUGGUGCCUUCGGGAACUUAGAUACAGGUGCUGCAUGGCUGUCGUCAGCUCGUGUCGUGAGAUGUUGGGUUAAGUCCCGNAACGAGCGCAACCCUUUUCCUUAUUUGCCAGCGGGUCAUGCCGGGAACUUUAAGGAUACUGCCAGUGACAAACUGGAGGAAGGCGGGGACGACGUCAAGUCAUCAUGGCCCUUACGGCCAGGGCUACACACGUGCUACAAUGGUCGGUACAAAGGGUUGCUACCUCGCGAGAGGAUGCUAAUCUCAAAAAGCCGAUCGUAGUCCGGAUCGCAGUCUGCAACUCGACUGCGUGAAGUCGGAAUCGCUAGUAAUCGCGGAUCAGAAUGCCGCGGUGAAUACGUUCCCGGGCCUUGUACACACCGCCCGUCACACCAUGGGAGUUUGUUGCACCAGAAGUAGGUAGUCUAACCGCAAGGAGGACGCUUACCACGGUGUGGCCGAUGACUGGGGUGAAGUCGUAACAAGGUAGGCGUAGAUGA